GUGUUCAUUUCGGCAGCACAUAUACUAAAAUUGGAACAAUACAGAGAAGAUUGGCAUGGCCCCUGCAAGAGGAUGACAUGCAAAUUUAUGAAGUGUUCCAUAAUUUU
ensembl:snRNA U6 U6 spliceosomal RNA